CCCUGCGGCCAGCGCCUCCCGCGCCCGGGCUCCUCGCCCUGGGGGACAGCUGGCAGCCCCGCGCCGGACCAGACACAAAGCCGAUCAAUCCCGGCGGCGCGGGGGCGGGGGCCGCCCGCCCCGCCAGGGCUUCCCUUCCGCCCGUCGCCUCCUCCGGCCCCCUCAUUAGGACCCAGCCGACACCUCGUCCGGCUUCCUCGGCCCGACCCGUCCCAACCUCCCCACACGCCCCCCCCCGAAAGAAAAAGAACUGUCCAGACCCCCCCCAGGUCCCCGGUUAGGCCAGACCCGCCUCUAGGGAGCCGGUUAAGAAGACGCCCCUGGAAGGGGGAAACUGACAUGCCAUCAGGCCCCGCCCCUCCCCUCCCCUGCAAGAGUGUCUCUGCUCCCGCCCCGAGAAGUUCAGUGCCCCCCCGGGCUGCCUCCCGCGCUUCCGCGCUCCCGCCGCCGGGACCCUCGGCUUCCGAGGAGUCGGCAGCUCCCGACCCCGCGAAGAUGGCGAGGAGGAGCCGCCACCGCCUCCUCCUGUUGCUGCUGCGCUACCUGGUGGUCGCCCUGGACUAUCAUAAGGCCUAUGGAUUCUCUGCCUCAAAAGAUCAUCAAGUAGUCACAGCAAUAGAGUAUCAAGAGGUUAUUUUAGCCUGUAAAUACCCAAAGAAGACCAUUUCCUCCAGAUUGGAGUGGAAGAAACUGGGGCGCAGUGUCUCCUUUGUCUACUAUCAACAGGCUCUUCAAGGAGAUUUUAAAGAUCGAGCUGAGAUGAUAGAUUUCAGCAUACGGAUCAAAAAUGUUACGAGAAAUGAUGCCGGGAAAUAUCGUUGUGAAGUUAGUGCCCCAUCUGAACAAGGUCAAAACCUGGAAGAGGAUACACUCACUCUAGAAGUAUUAGUGGCUCCGGCAGUUCCAUCAUGUGAAGUACCCAGUUCUGCACUGCGUGGAACUGUGGUGGAGUUGCGAUGUCAAGACAAAGAAGGCAACCCGGCUCCUGAAUACACGUGGUUUAAGGAUGGCAUCCGUUUGCUAGAGAAUCCAAAACUUGGCUCCCCAAGUGCCAACAGCUCAUACACAAUGAAUACAAAAUCUGGAACUCUGCAAUUUAAUACUGUUUCAAAACUGGACAGUGGAGAAUAUUCCUGCGAAGCCCGUAAUUCUGUUGGACAUAGCAGGUGUCCUGGGAAACGAAUGCAAGUAGAUGAUCUCAACAUAAGUGGCAUAAUAGCAGCUGUAGUAGUUGUGGCCUUAGUGAUUUCUGUCUGUGGCCUUGGCGUGUGCUAUGCUCAGAGGAAAGGCUACUUUUCAAUAGAAAAUGUCCAAGAUGACAUGAAGGUGAGUCAUGAAGCAUCCCGGCGAAUAUAGGGAGGAAAGGCAGAGGUGUCUCAUCGCAACAUUCCAGGAAUCAUCACAGAAUAUGUGAGAGGCACCGGGGAGGGGCAUAGUGCAGCGAUACCGAGAGAUGUGCAAUGUGGAUGGAUAUUUAUAGCACAUGUACAUGUAUUUAAGAUCCUUUUAUUUUAAGUAAGGGAUCGUAUAUCUCAAGAUGAAAAUUAAUUUCUAGUUUUAUGAUAAGAAAUUUCAUUGGAAUAAAUCUGUGAAAUGUUUUAUCAGUAUAGAACAGUGGAAUGUUGAAUGUCAAAUUUAGCACAACUGUAUUUAGAAGACAAUUGUUCAAUUAAAAACUAGAAACCUAUUGUAUUAUGGUUGCUUCUGAGGUUUUUAAUUCUUCAAGUUUAGGUCUAUUGGAACUUGCAUUUGGUGAUACAAUAGGUUUGAUGUAAAUGGAUAAGAUUUUUAAAUGUUUUACUCUCUUAAUGCAUUUCUUUACUUCCAGUCUUCAAAAUUAUCUGAGACCUUCAAAGUUGCACAACUCCAUCAAGUCCACUAAAAUUAGUGUAUAAAGUAGAAUUUUUAAGGAUAAUACAUUUAUAGCAUGAACAAAUUUUAGACCUGCUGUUUUUAUAAUGAACAUUAAUUUUGAAAUUUAGGUUUAAAAAAUAUCUUAUAUCAAAAUAAAACUUAAAUGUAAAGGGGGUUUCUAAUAAUACCUAUAAAUAGGUAUUGUAAAAUGUUUCCAUGAAUGUGGUUUCAAGGAUAUUCCCUGUAAUUAAGAAUAACUGCUCUGUGAAUGAAUAGUAGCUGUUGUGUGGUGCUCCUAUCCAGUCCAGUGUAAUGUAAUCCGGCUGAGUCCCCCUGCUGGUCAACAGUGGAAGUACAGACAGAUAAGGUUGCUCAUUCAAAAUUCUUGUCUUUUCUCUCUACCUGCAAAGAAUACCUGUCUGAGUGUUUUUAUUAAAGACUUGGUAAACGGUUUUUCUUAAAAUGCUGAAUUAAUUAAAGAUUUUACGUGAAUAUUAUUAGUUCAUUAGCUAAGAAUGUUACUCCCGUUUUCAUCUAGCAGAAAAUCUAUCUAAGAGAACCAUUUUCUUGAACUUGCAUUUCAGACAGGGGCUGGCAAACUAUGACCCAUGGACCAAAUCUGGUGUGCCACUUGAUUUUCUAUGGCCCACGAGCUAAGAAUGGUUUUUACAUAUAAACAUUGCAGUCUAUUUGAUAAUAGGGAACCCUAACAUUGAACCCCUAAAUAAGAGAAAUGUUAUCCCUCCAAAGAAUUCCAUUCUUCUAAUUAGUAGACCUGUAUUACAAGACUUUGAUUAUUAUUAUAUUUUUAAUUCAUUGAUAAAAAUUUUUGAAAAUUUGUUUUCUCUUUUGUUAUGUAAGUACUUACUUAAUAUCCUCGAUUUUACCUCUUUGCCCACAAAGCCUAAAAUAUUUGCCAUGUGGACCUGUUGGCAAACAGAAAAUGUUUGCCAACGUUUGAUUUAGGAGGUAUACAAUGUCAGCAAGUGAGAAUCAAAACUGAGAAAAAGGAAUUAAGCUCAAACUCAUUUUUAUAUGAAUCUGUAUCAUACCCUAUUAAUUCUUGCAUUAAUGAUAUAUACUUGUUCUUUUGUAGAAGAAACCUCCUUCCAGUAAGUAUACUUUCUUAAUGCAUGCCUUCCCCCAUAUCAACUACUUUUUUGUUCAUCAUCCGUUUAAAGUCAAAAGUGGGAAGUUGGGUUGUUUGUGUGGGUUUAAUUCUAUGGGCGGUGACUCGAAUUCAUCAAGGAACACAUCCCACCUCAUGCCUCGUGCCAACUUGUCAACGAUGUUUAGUUACCUAGAGAAGAAAUAUAGUCACUAAUUUGACUUUGUAGGCAUUUCCAUAGUACUACUUGAAAAACUUUUUCUGUGUUUUUCUAAAUUUAAAAUGUUCCAAUAAAUUUUUCCCUAAAAGUCAUUUUACAUUUCAUUGAAUACCAAAUAUAUGUCCAACCCUGUUCUAGGGACUGAUAACAGAGCAGUGAAUAAAAUAGACCAAAAAGCUCCUCUGCCCCAUGGAGCUUGCAUUCUAGUAGAGUAAGGCAGAAAGUAAACAAUUACAUGAGCGCAACAGUAUGUCAGAUUGUGAUAAGUAUUACGGAGAAAGAUAAAGCAGGUAAGAGAACAGAGAAUGCACAGGGGAGGAGUGGAGAUUGCCCUUGUAAAUAGGUGGUUAGAGAGGGCCUCACUGAUGAGGGGACGUCUGAGGGAGUGAGAUAUGCAGAUAAGCAGAGGGGAGAGAACAAAGGGAAAGAUCUCGAGUGCCUGGAGUAUCUGAGGAACAACAAGGGGACCGGUGUGGUUGGAACAGAGUGAGAACAAUGCAGGGAGGAGAUGAGUGAACACAAAUAGUGUAGUAGGGGCCAGAUUAUAUGGAGUCUGUUCCAGGCAGUUGUGAGGAGUUUGGCUUUGGUUCUGAGUAAGAUGGGACAUCAUUGGAGGUUCUUGAACAGAGGGAUAGCAUCUCAUUUAAUUCUUAGAAGCUCACGCUGACUGCUGUGUUGAGAAUAAACUGUAAGGUGACAGAGGGUGGAGGAAGCAGGGAGAACAGUUAGGAAACUACUAACUAAUCUAGACAAGAGAAAAUGGUGGCUGGUCCCAAAGUGAUGGUGUCAGAAAUGUUGAGAAGUGAUAGGAUUCUGGAUAUAUUUUGAACAGUUUGCUGGAUGAUUGGAUGUGGGCUGUGAGAAGAAGAGAGAAAUCAAAGAUGGCUCCAAGGCUCUGGGAAAGAUGAAGUUACCAUUUACUGAAGUGUGAAAGGUUUCAGGAGGAGCAUGUUUGAGAGUGGUGGUGGAGGAAGAGUAGUUCUGCAUCUAAAGCCACUGCAAUGAGUGAAAAUGAUUUCAAGCACACAAAAUCCUUUAUAAUUUAAAAGAAUUCCAUCUUUGCGAUGCACCAAAACCCCAGUUGUUGCACUAUUAAAAGAUUAUAAAACUCUGCUUUGUCUUACAUUUGCCAAGAGGUACAUGAGGAGGUGAAAUUGGUGUUUCAGUAUAAUCUUUAUGACUGCUACAUCACUUGAAAUUUUUAUUUUACACAAAUAGUUUUGUCAGCAGCUAAAAUACAGUCUGCCUUCUUGUGUCUGGACAAAGUUAAAGGAGUCAAAAUACUUUGUAAUAUUCUGGGGCUUGUGAAAUGUUAAAUAUCGUAACUUCUAGAGUAAGUUACUAAAAAUAUAUCAUACUGGUUGUGAAAUUAAUCCACAGAGCGUGAAAGUGUAAGCUGUAUGCACCCUCUGUGCAAGAGUCUGAUUUAGAGGGUUCAGAAAAUACUCUGACAGAUGCAAAAGGAACCUCUGGUCUCAUUAUUCUGUUGCUCAUUUAUCACUAAUAUAUUCACAGAAGGGAAGUGGCAGGAAGGGUCUUACACCCAAGGAUUUGCACUUUUUGUUUACUUUCAUGUCUGAGAACCAAAAUCAACAUGAAGAAAAAUACCUAAUGACCAGAGCUCACUCACCUGGUGUGUGCCGUUGAUUUCUUCAUUAAACAUCAGUCUGAGAGUUAAACACAAACCCAAGUGUCUUAUUUCACCCCCAGAGCUGCUUGUUGCUAUUUCCCUCCCCUAAGACCCCUUUGAAGAGGAUCGGUGACUUUGACAUCAGAACUCGCCAUUGGAACCAACACACAUAACCCUACAGAUACUUGUCCCUGCAUGAUGGUGACUUCACAUCUCUCUGUCUCUAAAAUUUGUGCAGUGAAAUUUUGCAUUGGGCCGAGUCCCUUGCUGUUACGGCCAGUGGUUUUCCAACCCUGCUUAUGGCAAAGUCAGGGAUAUGGAGGGGAGGACAGGUUGCCUGACAAGUAAAAUGAGAUGAAACGGCUCAGGGUGGCUCCUGGCACCUGGUGCUACGCUUGAUACAUAGAGAACACAGGAGAAAUGAAAUGAAAAAUGGGUCCGAUCAUCUGGUUUCUAAACUGAUAGAUCACAAAGACCUCCAGCUAGUGUUACAAAGUGAAAAUUCCAAUGAUCCAUGUAAUAGGGAGAGUAAUUAGACUGUGUUAAAAGCAUAAUCAUCCAGAACUUAUUUUGAUUAUUCAUUUCAUAUUGAAAAGACAAUAUGGCUAGGGCAUUUCCAGUUCCAGGCAAAUCUAGACGAAAAGGUCCCUCACUACGUUUGACAACUUUGAACACGGUUAAACUGCUUUUAAAGGAGUCCACUCUUUUUGCCCAAUAGGCAGAGCAAAUCGCCAGGAUUCACGGGACAGACAGUUGGAUUAAGUACUCACCAAGUGCCGAAUAUGUGCCUGGACACCAGGUCACUGGGAAGAUGCCUGUUGUCACACUGCCCCCACUUGUCUGUGACAUUCAGUGAUUCUCACCAGACCUCUUCCAACAGUUUCCGUAAAGGGCCAGGUAGUAGAUAUUUUAAGACAUGUAGGCCAUAUGGUCCCUGCCAUAACUGCCUGUACUGUACUCAACUCUGCCAUUUUUCAUGUCAUGGUAUUGUAGCAUGAAAGCAGCCACAGACAAUACUUUUAAAAUGGUCAUGUUUGUGUUCUUAAAACAGGAGGCACAGACAGGAUCUGGUCCACAUGCAUAGUUUCCCAACUCUUGGUGAUGAAGCAUGAAAAGAAAAAAAACAAAAAACUAUCAUUAUAAUUCUUAGAGCAUUUUGAUUUUGUUUUCAUGAAGUAAAAUUGUGUUUUAUAAAGGUUAGGGCGUUAGUAUCUUUAAUAGCAAGUUUUAAUUAUUAUCAUUGUAACCAGAUUUAAUUUGUUUUUACUCGGGGGUUUAACCUAACUAAAUCUGGAACAACUGUUUUUCAAUACAGCCUUGAAAAAAACUUCAUCUCACAGGUGGUUUUGUCUGAUUAAAGUCUGCAUUAAUAAAAAUA